CGGGAUGUGGCUCAGUCUGGUAGAGUACCUGAAUGGGGUUCAGGUGGUCGUGGGUUCGAAUCCCGCCAUCCCGACCA
rnacentral:tRNA from 1 species